AUAUGACAUUUUUCUAUCACUAAACUUAUGUAUAUCCAAUACAAAACAAGCAUAUUUUUAAAAAACUUGCUUUCUCUAUGUAAUUCUGCUGUCUCUGAUGUCUUAUUUUUUGUAUCAUAUUCAUUUCUUAAUCAAACACGCAAAAAUACGUAAUUUGUAUUCUACUAUAGCAAAAAGAAUCGAAACUAAGCAAAUGAGUACCGGUUUCAGGUAUGGAAUAUCAUUGCUGUUAUUCGCUUCAUAUUCCAUUUAGUUUUCAACUACUUAGCUCUGUAGUUGGAUUCUUUUCUGUAUCCUCGCGUAAUCAACAUUCUGGCUCGUGAAUCUGAAUGCCCUACAACCAUAUAGACGGAAUGAAGCAUACUAAUUGAAUUUGAAGAAAGCAGUGCUUGUUGUAUAUAAUAGUCAUACAUAAAUUCAAUACAGUAAGCUAAUCCAAAUGUGGUAACAAAGUAAUACUUUUCUAAAGAUGGAUAGUCGUCUAAAGCAGGACAAAGCAACGUCGAUGAAAUAAAUGCUGCACCAGAUUAAUUAUCACUGUAUUAGAAAAUAACCAGCUCUCCAAACAUAAUGUCUAAGGAAAUUGCUAGCGAAAAUUACGAUAUUUCUGAUAGAUAUACCUAUCAAAAAAUAUCCACUAGUCCUGUACCCCUAGGUUUAGCAUCUUUCGCCCUUACGACGUUCCUUUCAUCUCUCUGCAAUGCAAAGGUUAUGUCUGGUCAAAUAGAAGGUAUACUUAUUGGAUGCGCGUAUGCCUAUGGAGGUGUGACUCAAAUGAUUGCUGGCAUACUUUGUUACUUUUGGGGCGAUGAUCUUUUUGCUGCCACGGUAUUUACUAGCUACGGUGCUUUUUGGGUUGGUUUUGCCUAUUUUAAGAGCGCUAUAGCCCCUGUCCUAUCUCAAGUCGAUUUAAACAAUGCCAGUGGGUUAUACAUCUUGUGCUGGCUGAUCUUCACGUUCGUGCUACUAGCACUUUCGUUUAAAAUUACUAAAGUGCAUUGUGUGCUUUUCACGGCACUCACUAUUUCACUACUACUUCUUACUGUUGGACAUCUUAUCGAUCAACCCGAUAUUAUCAAAGCAGGGGGAUAUUGUGGUUUUAUUCCAUCCGUACUUGCAUGGUAUAUUAUGACUUCGAUCCUGGUGGAGGAUAUGUUUAAAAAGAAUGUGUUUCCAUUAGGAGAUAGCAUACUGUAAAAAAUUCCAUUGAUUAAUUAAA